GAUGAACGCUGGCGGCGUGCUUAACACAUGCAAGUCGAACGGAAAGGCCCUUGCUUGCCGGGGUACUCGAGUGGCGAACGGGUGAGUAACACGUGGGUGAUCUGCCCUGCACUUCGGGAUAAGCCUGGGAAACUGGGUCUAAUACCGGAUAGGACCAUCGUUUAGUGUCGGUGGUGGAAAGUUUUUUCGGUGUGGGAUGAGCUCGCGGCCUAUCCGCUUGUUGGUGGGGUAAUGGCCUACCAAGGCGUCGACGGGUAGCCGGCCUGAGAGGGUGUACGGCCACAUUGGGACUGAGAUACGGCCCAGACUCCUACGGGAGGCAGCAGUGGGGAAUAUUGCACAAUGGGCGCAAGCCUGAUGCAGCGACGCCGCGUGGGGGAUGACGGCCUUCGGGUUGUAAACUGCUUUCGGCAGGGACGAAGCGAAAGUGACGGUACCUGGAUAAGAAGCACCGGCUAACUACGUG
rnacentral:rRNA from 1 species